rnacentral:rRNA from 1 species
CCUGGUUGAUCCUGCCAGUAAUCAUAUGCUUGUCUCAAAGAUUAAGCCAUGCAUGUCUAAGUACAUGCCGAAAUAAGGCGAAACCGCGAAUGGCUCAUUAAAUCAGUUAUGGUUCCUUAGAUCGUUUGCUCGCUACUGUGGAUAGCUGUGGCAAUUCUAGAGCUAAUACAUGCAGUGAGCCUGGAGCCCUUUGGGUAACGGGUGCUUUUAUUAGACCAAGAUCGAUCGGGUUUCGGCCCGUAUUGUGUGGUGACUCUGGAUAACUUUGUGCUGAUCGCAUGGCCACGAGCCGGCGACGUUUCUUUCAAGUGUCUGCCUUAUCAACUUUCGAUGGUAGGUUACUUGCUUACCAUGGUUGUUACGGGUAACGGAGAAUCAGGGUUCGAUUCCGGAGAGGGAGCCGCCUGAGAAACGGCUACCAAUCCAAGGAAGGAAGGCAGCAGGCGCGCAAAUUGCCCACUCCCGGCACGGGGAGGUAGUGACGAAAAAUAACAAUACGGGACUCUUUUGAGGCCCCGUAAUUGAAAUGAGUACACUCUAAAGCCUUUAACGAGGAUCAACUUGGAGGCGGCAAGUCUGGUCGGGAGCAGCCGCGGUUAAUUCGGUUCAGCUCGGCAAUAGCGUAUACUAAAGCUGCUGCGGUUAAAAAGCUCGUAGUUGGAUCUCAGUUCCAGACGAGUAGUGCAUCUACCCGAUGCGACGGCUCGGACUGAACAUCAUGCCGGUUCUUUCUUGGUGCACUUCAUUGUGUGCCUCGAGAUGGCCGGUGCUUUUACUUUGAAAAAAUUAGAGUGCUCAACGCAGGCGAGUCGCCUGAAUAAACUUGCAUGGAAUAAGAGAACAAGACCUCGUUUCUGUUCUGUUGGUUUUUGGAAUACGAGGUAAUGAUUAAGAGGGACGGACGGGGGCAUUCGUAUUGCGGCGCUAGAGGUGAAAUUCUUGGACGCGGUGCGGCAAGACGAAUAGCUGCGAACAUUGCAAGCGAAUUUUAUUGAUCAAGAACGAAAGUCAGACAGGUUCGAAGGGGCGAUGCAGCAUACCGCGGCCCUAGUUCUGACCAUAAACGCUGCCAACCAGCGAUCCGCCUGAGUUACUCAAAUGACUCGGCGGGCAGCUUCCGGGAAACCAAAGUAUUUGGGUUCCGGGGGAAGUAUGGUUGCAAAGCUGAAACUUAAAGGAAUUGACGGAAGGGCACCACCAGGAGUGGAGCCUGCGGCUUAAUUUGACUCAACACGGGAAAACUUACCCGGCCCGGACACUGGGAGGAUUGACAGAUUGAGAGCUCUUUCUUGAUUCGGUGGAUGGUGGUGCAUGGCCGUUCUUAGUUGGUGGAGCGAUUUGUCUGGUUAAUUAAUUCCGGCGAUAACCGAAGGCGAGAGGCUCUACCUAUUAAAAGGUGGCGGGUUCCCAGCAAGCGCUUACGCCAGGCAACCCGUUCUUAGAGAGGGACAAGCGGCUCCUAGCCGCACUAAACAGAGCAAUAACAGGUCUGUGAUGCCCUUAGAUGUCCGGGGCCGCACGCGCGCUACACUGAAGGAAGCAGCGUGUCUUUAUCCCUGUCUGAAAAGACUGGGUAACCCGUGGAACUUCUUUCGUGAUUGGGAUAGGGGCUUGCAAUUGUUCCGCGGCUUGAGCGAGGAUUCCCAGUAAGCGCGAGUCAUAAGGCUGCGCGUUGAUUUACGUCGCCUGCCCUUCCCCUGUACACACGCGCCGCGUCCGGCUAGCUACCCGAUUGAAUCGAUUUCAGUGAGCGUCUUGCGGACGCGAUGUCCCGGCGCGGCCGUUGCGGUUGCGCCGGUCUGUUGGAAAGAUGACCAAACUUGAUCAUUUAGAGGAAGUAAAAGUCGUAACAAGGUUUCGCGUAGGUGAACGCUGCGUGAAG